rnacentral:rRNA from 1 species
GACGAACGCUGGCGGCGUGCUUAACACAUGCAAGUCGAACGGAAAGGCACUGCUUUUGUGGGGUGCUCGAGUGGCGAACGGGUGAGUAACACGUGAGUAACCGGCCCUUGACUUUGGGAUAACUUCAGGAAACUGGGGCUAAUACCGGAUAGGAGCUCCUGCUGCAGGGUGGGGGUUGGAAAGUUUCGGCGGUUGGGGAUGGACUCGCGGCUUAUCAGCUUGUUGGUGGGGUAGUGGCUUACCAAGGCUUUGACGGGUAGCCGGCCUGAGAGGGUGACCGGCCACAUUGGGACUGAGAUACGGCCCAGACUCCUACGGGAGGCAGCAGUGGGGAAUAUUGCACAAUGGGCGGAAGCCUGAUGCAGCAACGCCGCGUGCGGGAUGACGGCCUUCGGGUUGUAAACCGCUUUCGCCUGUGACGCAGCGUGAGUGACGGUAAUGGGUAAAGAAGCACCGGCUAACUACGUG